UAGAGUGAAAUGUUGAUAGUGUUAACUAAAGGGGAAAACACUAGAAAGCUGAGUCUCGUGCUUCUCUGAAUGGGUUUAUAUUUCUUCUGAGCUGCAGUCUGGGGAGCUGCUCGCCUGCACGGAGCUUAAAUAGAACAUUACUCGUCUCCUUCACUCCCCCCUGCUCUCAUCUCCUAUGCGGAGGAAAGUAGGUUAAAAUCUCAGGGCAUUAUUGGUUUGAACGGCCUAUGAGCUGGCGUCUGAAGACCUCAGCCCUGCUGUUGAAAUCCAGAUUGAGCACCGCCUCGCCCCUUGGCAGGCCAGUGACAUAUGGACUUGGACAUGAUGAACUGUGAGCUUUUGGCAACGUGCAGUGGCCUGGGGUAGCUGGAGGGACCACGAAGAACCCGACUGUCUAGGUGAGCUGCUACACACACUGGCUAACAACACUUGCUGGGCUAUAAACACAGUGCUGAAGGUAGUAAUGUGUACUAGGACCCU
rnacentral:lncRNA from 1 species